ensembl:snRNA U6 U6 spliceosomal RNA
GUGCUCGCUUUGGCAACACAGAUACUAAAAUUGGAACAAUACAGAGAUUAUUAGCAUGGCUCCUGCACAAGGAUGACAGGCAAAUUCCUGAAGCAUUCCAUGUUUUU